rnacentral:rRNA from 1 species
GGAGUUAGCCGGUGCUUCUUCUGUGAGUGAUGUCCUUCCUGCCGGCUAUUAACCCGCAGGCCUUCUUCCUCACUGAAAGUGCUUUACAACCCGAAGGCCUUCUUCACACACGCGGCAUGGCUGGAUCAGGGUUGCCCCCAUUGUCCAAUAUUCCCCACUGCUGCCUCCCGUAGGAGUCUGGGCCGUGUCUCAGUCCCAGUGUGGCUGAUCAUCCUCUCAGACCAGCUACGGAUCGUCGCCUUGGUGAGCCGUUACCUCACCAACCAGCUAAUCCGACAUAGGCUCAUCCGAUAGCGCGAGGCCCGAAGGUCCCCCGCUUUCCCCCGUAGGGCGUAUGCGGUAUUAGCCUGGGUUUCCCCAGGUUAUCCCCCACUACCGGGCAGAUUCCUAUGCAUUACUCACCCGUCCGCCGCUCGCCACCAGGGAGCAAGCUCCCCGUGCUGCCGCUCGACUUGCAUGUGUAGCGUCGCCGCCACGCGUCAUCUGAGCCAUGAUACAACUACUGA